GACGAACGCUGGCGGCGUGCUUAACACAUGCAAGUCGAACGGAAAGGCCCUGCUUUUGUGGGGUGCUCGAGUGGCGAACGGGUGAGUAACACGUGAGUAACCUGCCCUUGACUUUGGGAUAACUUCAGGAAACUGGGGCUAAUACCGGAUAGGAGCUCCUGCUGCAUGUUGGGGGUUGUAAAGUUUCGGCGGUUGGGGAUGGACUCGCGGCUUAUCAGCUUGUUGGUGGGGUAGUGGCUUACCAAGGCUUUGACGGGUAGCCGGCCUGAGAGGGUGACCGGCCACAUUGGGACUGAGAUACGGCCCAGACUCCUAAGGGAGGCAGCAGUGGGGAAUAUUGCACAAUGGGCGGAAGCCUGAUGCAGCAACGCCGCGUGCGGGAUGACGGCCUUCGGGUUGUAAACCGCUUUCGCCUGUGACGAAGCGUGAGUGACGGUAAUGGGUAAAGAAGCACCGGCUAACUACGUG
rnacentral:rRNA from 1 species